CUGUGCUAAACACCAAUCACAACUUCUGCUACUGUCUAAGAGAUUUCUACAAAGAAAAAUUUUCAAGAUGAUGAUGAAAGAUGAGGAAAUAGGAUGUCUGGGAAGUCAAGGUUCUCUGCUACAAGCUGCACAACAACUGUUUUGCAACCACUAGUUCAGUCUUCAGGCCUGAUGAAGUGAACCUGAACUGUGCGACUGCGGAUAUGUGCCUUGCUCCUGCUGGAAGCAUCUGACAUGGAAAUGGCAGAGGCUGCUGCUUCCAUUUCACCAGAAGUGAGAGCUGAGAACAGUAAUUUGUGGAGGCUUUUUCCUCAUCCUUUUUAGUUAAAGAGUCUCACGAUUCUGUCACACUACCUGUCUGUGGGCUUAAUAAUGCAGCAAUGGUGCUGCUAAGCUGCCAGAUCUAGAACAGGUCUUGGAACAUCUCUUCAGCCCUCACACUGGGAAUCUGUACCACUGGUUAGUAUCUAUAUGGUGUAUUUGGAUCUUGUUCAUCUACUAUACACCACGUACAGGUACUAUGCAUAUACGAAGCAAUUCAGAACACAGCAGGGAAAAGAAACGCAACUACUAGACUAAAAUUGCUGAAGGAAGUAUUGGCUAUUUGUUCUACACCCUGCUGAAACCCCAAAAGUGUCACCAGUAUCUCCACUUCUGCAAGCUCAGCAGUACUCCUGUUUGGCACCAUCCUUUUGGCACCUGGUCAGCUUCCACAGAGCAGGGUUUGGAUAACAUGGAGGUCUCUCUGGAAAUCCCACUUUCCCUCAUUUAGGGCACUAUGAACUUGUAAAAAAGGUUUCAAAUUGAGAAGACAAAGAUAGUCAGCAUAGAGUUGCUGUUGUGAAUAAAGAAGAAUGAAGCAGGGAGUCCAUUGCAUGGCUGUUAGAUCAGAGUGCCUCCACAUCUGUAGCUCUUUCAGAUUACGUUACCCUUAUAGGCUCACUGAAACAUUUUUUUAACGAAUUUCUAGUGUACAAACACCAACAGUCUCGUUACCACUGAGAAAGACUGGAAAAAGUAAAAAAGAAAUUUGCCAUCCUUUUGUUUUUCAGAGGUUAAAGUUCCUCUCUUUCAUUACAAUAUAAAAGAUACAAAAAUAUAACAAUGUAGCAUUAUACUGAAGCACACAAGGUGAUAAAAUUUGGCUUGUAAGACAGCAUCAAUUAAAGAGGA